UUCAAAAGAAAGCCUUUCUCUCUCUAGAUCUCUUUCCUCUCGUAGGAUUCCGAGGGUUUCUUCUUCAUCGGAGAUCUUCCAUUCGCAAUCCCUAUAGAUCUCGCCGUCAUGGCGGCCGCUAAUGCUCCGAUCACUAUGAAAGAAGCCCUAACGGUAGGCUAUUAUUCAUGUUUAACUUUUUUCCCCAACGAUUUAUUGCAAUUUCAUAUUGACUGUUUAAAAUUGAUUGAUUUUCCUACUCUUACUAGUGUUUCACGUGUGAAUUGUUGCUUAGUACCGUGAUUUGAGUUUGAUUGAAGAUCUGAAACCCUAGGCUAUGAUAUUGUCUUAAAUAUUUGAACUUUAGUUUCUAUCUGAUACUAGAAUCUGGAUUUAAAUUUGUAUUUUAAUACGUCAGAAAUGUAGCUCAGAAAUUUGAUAUUAGUUCAUUGCCAGAUCUGAAUCCUAGGUUAUGAUAUAAAGUAGCUCUGAACUUUGAUAUUAGUUCAUUGCCAGAUCUGAAUCCUGGGUUAUGAUAUUAUUUUGGAUUGAGAACUUUAUGUUUCUAUAGUGAAUUUAAAAUCCAGAUUGAAUUUAGUAUUGUUAUUAGUAUUUCUUGCAACUUGGCACAAGCUAAAUGUAGCUUAUAACAGUGAUUAUUUUGUUGCGAGAUCUAAGGCCUUGGUCAUGAUAUUAUUUUGGAUUGAUAACUUUAGUUUAGUAUUUGAAUUUUAAAUCUAGAUUGAAUUAGGUAUUUUAAUACGUCUGAAAUGUGGCUUAGAACUGUGAUAUUAGUUCAUUAUAAGAUCUGUGACCUCAGUUAUGUCUAUGUGAAUUUAAAAUCUGGAUUGAUUUCGUAUUCUUAUCAGUGAUUUGGUAGCUUAGCAUGUGUGAAUUGUGUCUUUGAAUUGUGAUAUUACUUCAUUACCAGAUCUGUGAUGUAUGUUUGGAUAUCAUUUUGGAUUGAGAACUUAAGUUUUUAUGUGAAUUUAAAAUCUGGCUAGAAUUUCAUAUCUUUAUUUGUGUUUUAUGCAAUAUAUCAUGUAAGCAACCCCCACUUCCAACAAGAGGGGUUGCUCUGAUGGUAAGCAACCCCCACUUCCAACCAAGAGGUUGUGAGUUCGANNNNNNNNNNNNNNNNNNNNNNNNNNNNNNNNNNNNNNNNNNNNNNNNNNNNNNNNNNNNNNNNNNNNNNNNNNNNNNNNNNNNNNNNNNNNNNNNNNNNNNNNNNNNNNNNNNNNNNNNNNNNNNNNNNNNNNNNNNNNNNNNNNNNNNNNNNNNNNCCAAGGGUAGGGGUAAGGUCUGCGUACACACUACCCUACCCAGACCCCACUAAGUGGGAUUAUACUGGGUUGUUGUUGUUGUUGUUGUUGUUAUACAAUAUAUCAUGUAUGAUAUGUCGCUUAGAACUGUGGCAAGGCGCAUUACCAGAUGUGUGACCCAGGAUAUGAUAUCUUUUUGGACUGAGAACUUAAGUGUCUACAUGAUUUUUAAAUCUAGAAUGAAUUUCGUAUCCCUGUAACUUUUUCUGUGAACAUAGUAUGUGUGAAAUGUGGUGUGAAACUACUUCAUUACAGAUCUGCAACCUAGGUUAUGGUAUUAUUUUGAAUCUAGAGAGCAAGAGUAUAUGCGAAAUUAAAUAUAUGACUGAAAUUUCGUAUUCUUGUUAGUGUUUCUGGCAACUUAGCACAUGAGAAAUGUGGCUUAGUUCAUCACCAGAUCUGCGCCUAGGUUAUAAUAUUCUCUUGAUGUGAGAACUCAAGUUCUUUGAAUUUAGUGUCUUGAAUUUUGUUUUCUUAUUAGUGUUUCUGGAAACAUAGCACGUACGAAAUGUGGCUUUGAACUGUGAUUUUAAUUUAUUCCCUGAUCUUGUGACUUAGGUUAUGAUAUUAUCGGGAAUUGAGAACUACAUUUUCUUUGUGAAUUUAAAAUCUGGAUUGGAUUUCAUAUUCUUAUUUGUUAUUCUGGCUGCUUAGUACAUGUGAAAUGUGGCUUUGAAUUGUGAUAUUAUUUCAUUACUGGCUAUAGGUUAUGAUAUUAUUUUGCAUUAAGAACUUAAGUUUCUGUGCACCCAAGCCCUAGUGGUCAAUGUAGUGGGAGGAAAAUCAUGAGUGUCUUAGACCCCGUUUGGCGAAGCUGCUAAAAACUGCUAAUUUUGAAAAGUACUUCUGUUCCAAAGCGAUUUUCGAAAAAGUAUCUUUGGAGAAAAAAAAGUUGUGUUUGGCCACUUCAUUUGAGAGGUGCUUUUUGCAAUAUUUGAUAAGCAAAUUGUGUUUGGCCAAUAUUUUCAAAAAGUACUUUUUAGCUUCAAAUUAUAGAAAAGGACAGUAAAAGUUUACUUUACAAUCAAUAUUAUGUAAAACAUAUUUAUUAUAAAAUAAUUUAAUUAGUUUUUAUUUUUAUUCAGUUAAAAUAUAAAAUAUAUAAUUAAAAUAUAUAUUAAAGAUUAUUGGGUAUCUGGUAUUAUUACUUAUUGUUUAAAUGAUGAAUUAGAUAUAUCAAAAUACAUCAUUAAUUCAGUAUACAUUAAAAAUUUACUCCAUAAUUCACUAUCUAAAUGUAAAAGAAAGAUUUAUUUAUAAUAGAGAGACUGUUCCAAUGAGGAAUAGGAGAAGGAAAAGAAGUAUGGUUUAAAUAAAAAAGAGAAGAAAGGGAUGAUAGAAACAAAAAGAAAAAGGAAAAAGUUAAAUUAAUGAGGGAUUUUAUGGUGAGCAUAUUUUUGUCUUGAAAAAAUUAAUUUUCUGCUUCCACCAAUAAGGUAGAAUUUGUAGCUUCUUCCCAAAAGUAGAAAAAUUGCUUCUGAGGCUGCUCAAAAGUAGUGUCUCGCCAAACACCUUAAAUUUUCGAAAAACUGCUUUUCUGACAAAAAAAAAGUACUUUUGGCUAAACAGCUCUUACAUUCAAAUCUCAGCGGAGGCAAAAGACCACUGGGGCGAUUGCCUUCCAUCUGCCUAGCUUUUUUUGAGCAGAAUAACCCGAUAUCGUUGAAGCAGUUGAGAUGCGUGCAAGCUAGCAUCGCCACCACUGCCAUCCAAAACAAUGAACUUAAGUUUCUUUACGAACUUAAAAUCUCUUCGUAUUCUUGGUAGUGUUUUUGACAACUUAGCACAUCUGAAAUGCGGCUUCGAACUUUGAUAUCAGCACACUACCAUAUCUAUGACCCACGUAAGGAUAUCAUUUUGGACUGAGAUUUUAAGUUUCUUUAUGAAUUAUAUAGCUGGAUUGGAUUUCAUAUUCUUAUUAGUGCUUUGGCUUCCUAUCACAUGUGAGAUGUGGCUUAGAACUGUGAUAGUUCGUUGCCGGACUGCGAGCUAGGCAUUGAGCCUUUGUUUUAAUUCAAAUAUAAAAAUUUGAUUGAGUUGUGUUCUAAUUAUUUUUUUCGGCAAUUUAACGCGUGUGAAGUGUGGCUUAGAACUAUGAUAUUAGUUCAUUCCCAGAUUUAAAAUAUGGAUUGAAUUUUUCUUGUGUCUGUCGGUGUUGCAGUUGCAAAGUAUAGGGGUUAAUCCGCAGUUCAUCACGUUCACCAAUGUUACCAUGGAAUCAGAUAAGUAUAUAUGUGUUCGGGAGACUGCACCGCAAAAUAGUGUGGUGAUUAUUGAUAUGAACAUGCCUAUGC
rnacentral:lncRNA from 1 species